ACGAUGCCAUCAGUCCCCAUAGAUUAUUCUCGUCCCUGACAACGAGUUAAGCGACGACCAUCACCACCAUCCACCACCGCCGACUAAGGCCUUGAGGAGCGCAUCCGUCGGGCGGCGACGACCACGGCGGUCGGGGGGCUUCUAGCCACACUUCUUGGCGGAGGUGGAGGAGGCGAAGGCCCAGGUGACGCCGAAGGGGUCGACGAGGGUGGCGCCCAGCCCGCAGCCGUCCUCGGUUACCUCCCCCUGCAGCGCCGCACCGGCGGUCGCCGCCUGCGCCGCGGCAGCGUUCACGUCGUCGGUCUCCAGGCGCAGAACCAGCCCACUAGCGGCGGCGCCUUCCUUGCCCCUGCAACAAACAACAAGCACCAAAAGUGUGAGACUUUGAGCAGGGAACAGAGUUUUAAUGUCCAUUUAUUUGCUCGGUGUUAAGUAAAUAGCAAAACCUCGUACUCCAGAAUACUAGUACUAUGUAACCGAGCAAUAACUGUUUCACAUUUUUCUCCAAAUGAAAUAUAAAAUAAAAGUAUUAAACACAGAUUUCUUUGGAGAGAUGCCACUGCAAUGAGUAGAUCUAUUUUUAUUUUUUUUGAAAAGGUGAGUAGAUCUAUUCUUCUCUAAAAAAUUAUGGCAAUAUCUGAGUUCAAAAACAGUAGCAAACUCAUUUCCUGUGUGCCUUCGCAGUUUCCAAAGUAGACAAAGUACAGAUGAACUGCACGAGGCCAAAAGAGCACCAAAAAGAGUGCAGACAAACAAAGUAGGACAAGGGAGAAAACAAAAAACAAAACAGGGUUCUAUUUCCAUGAUGUUCCACUUCCACACCUUCAGAUCUACAUUAAUAAAUGCUAACAGAAUCACAUGUGGAUGUUGACGUACCGAAAAGAUCUAUGUAAGCGGCCCCAAAAAAACCCCAAGAAACCAGUGCAGAGCAGCAGUGAAGCUGAAGAAUGGUAGUUCCAAGCUAAAACUAACUGGAUCUAAAAUUCCUGACAAGUGCCAAACUGAUUCUCACAAUACUAAAGCAGAUGUUCACAGAUCUACGAACUUCAACGCAAAAUAUGUGACAAGAAACGAAAUAGCAGUGCAUCUACCAUGUAUUACAUGCCAAGAACAACAAAAAAGAAUGGGAACUAGGAAGGAAAGGAGCAGAAAGGGUUUAGCGAGGGUUUCCGGGAGCUUACACGGCGGGGACGUCGUCGCCGGCCUGGUCACAGACGAGCAGGGUCGCCGCGCCGACCUUCAGCUCGGCGCAGAGCAGGGCCGCCGCCUCCCCGUCACCCUUGCGCUUCGGGUGGGUGGAGCGGGACACCUCCUCCGCGGCGAAAGCGGCCUUGUAGAAGGCCACCGCCUCCUCGGCGCGCCCUGCCGGAACCGUCACCUGCACCUUCAGCCCGGAGAACACCGCCGGCGCCGGCACGGCCGCCGGGGCGGCGAGCACCUCAGAGCCGUUGGUCGCCACCUCCGCCAUUGCUCAGGGAAGAUUUGGCUCUCCUUUACUGUUGUGCGUUCCUUUCUCCUUGGGAGCACAGCAGAGUGGG
rnacentral:lncRNA from 1 species